UGAUGCAUACGUUUCUUGGUUAACCUAAUUUUGAUUAAUUUAAAAUGGCGGUGGGUUUGGGUUGUAAUCUUUUUUUCUAAUGAAUGAAUAGAUGAAGAAUUUGAUUAAGGAAGAAUUACUGCACAUACUACGUCGGCAGAGCACUGGCUUCUUUGCGGGCCAGCUCCAGAUAUAGAGGGGUUACACUGCACAAAUGUGGUAGAUCCGGAGCUCAAAUGGGAUAGUUCCUCUGAAAAAAAGUAUAAUUCCCACUUCUCUCUGCCUGCUUCCCCACUCCUUGCUCCAGUUGUGACUGGUUUUCCUUUUUGGUUCUAUCUUAGAAGUCUGUCAAGGAGAAGGCCAGGAGACCUGAAGAAAAUCCAUUGAAAAAGGAGUGAUGAAGCUAAAGCAGCAUUUGAAAGUUUGAGAGUGAUGGAUUUUCGAAUGAAAUGCACUUAACCCUGGAUUCCAGUGGGGGUGGCUGAAGCAGCUGCCGGAUAUGACAAAUGGCAGCUAAGUGGCAGCACAGAGCUUUCGCCGGAGGGAGAAAGGAUUUUGAUACGAGACAUUACUUGCUCACCCAAAGGUGAGAAUGUUAUGUGAGAAAGCCAAGGAAAUUCUAAUGGGAGAAAGCAAUGUUCAGGUGUAAAUUUUGGUCUCUUUAGUCUCUUAUUAUAUUUGUAUUACAUUACAUAUUUCACUGUUAUUUCAUUUUGUAUGGGAAAAAAGCGUUAUUAUUGUCCUUCAUUUUGAACUGGUAACACUGGUGUAGAUCUUUUAAACUAUAUGGGUAGACACUUAUUAUUAUUUAUUUGCAUGCAUGUGAAAGGGCCAGUGACAAUUUGUGGCGAUAUUCAUGGGCAAUUUCAUGACCUUGCAGAGCUUUUUCAAAUUGGAGAGUUUUCUUGCUUGCAAUUUUGAAUUAUUUCAAAUUAUGAAUGAAAAAGCUUUUGGAAAUUAGAUACUUUCUGUGAAGAUUUUUCUUUGGAGUUCAGUAAAUUGAUUGCUCCUUUGGCUAUAAGUUUGACAUUAGUAAAUUCUGGACUUUAAUUUCAGUGAUUACCCAACAUUGAUUGUUAUUGAUUAGCAUUUGUUUUCUGGAAUUUGGACUCUAAACAGUUCAAAGGUUUUGGGAAAGGAAUGCUUUUUAAUCUAGCCAAUUGGUGGUCUUAGCAAUACAAUGUCAAAUUUUUUUAAAUCCGAGUCUGACAAUUUUGGCAAGAUGCAAAUGAGCUGUGAUUGGGAAGGUAAUAUCAUCCUAAUAUAUUUUUCAAAGCAAUUUACUUAUUUGUAUUUUGCAGCUUUAUGUGUCCAAGAGGUUUCAAGUGUUAGUGAGGACCUCGAAAUGUAUGUAUUAAGGUUAAUCAGUAGUGGUACAAAAUAUAAACAUCACUUUGAGUGAUUAAUAUAAACUCUGUAUGUUUUCGUUUUGAAUGUUGAAGUUGGAAAUUGCUUUGGUUAGGAUACUAAUGAUUAGAAAAUAACUUUGUUUAAGGAAUGCACAAAUAGUCUAUGGGUGGAUUUUCAUGGAAAAGUUGACUAAAUUUCUUCUUUGUUGUUUCCAUAUGGUGCUUCAGUGGUGGGUUUUGAAAUUUUAGUUGUGGAUGUGAAAUUCACUUCUCAAAAGAUAGUUGCGAUAAUGCCUAUUUUUCUCUCAAAGCUCUUUUAGCCGAGUUGUCAGAAUCAAUGACUGAAGCUCUCCAUGACGAGUUGGACAUCGGCCUGAUACACUACUCUCAGUCUUUCCUGCUUUUAAUUUUGAUUGUUUAUGAUGAGUCGGACAUUGGCAAUUUGUUGUUGAAUUUUAUUUUGAUAAUUUCUGAAAAUUUUGUUUUAUUUUGUUGACAGCUUUUAUUGCCCACAAAUUUCAAAUAGAAAAGUUAGAAGAGCUACGGAUUUGCUUUCCACUGGUUCCCUGUAUUGAGUGCAAACGUGCUCCUAAUAUACUUGAAUUAAUUCUAAAGUCAGUAACUUUUCUGGGAUUGUUUGUGGUUUUGUGAGUGUUGCUUAGGUAAAACGUGGGUUGUCUAAAUUGCUGCAUUUAAGAAUGCGAUUGUAUUGCAACAGGAUUUUCAUUUAAUUUUUCUGUGGAUAUUUUCA